rfam:Nicotiana sylvestris Nsyl_contig15233, whole genome shotgun sequence.
UGGACAGAUUAUUGUAUUCGACUGUAUUCACGAUGUGAAAUAGGGGAUUACACUGUUUUUAAAACGGAAAGUGAAUCAAUUAACAUAAUAGACUCCU